GGACCCGCACAAGCGGCGGAGCAUGUGGUUUAAUUCGAAGCAACGCGAAGAACCUUACCAAAUCUUGACAUCCUUUGACAACUCUAGAGAUAGAGCUUUCCCCUUCGGGGGACAAAGUGACAGGUGGUGCAUGGUUGUCGUCAGCUCGUGUCGUGAGAUGUUGGGUUAAGUCCCGCAACGAGCGCAACCCUUAUCUUUAGUUGCCAUCAUUAGGUUGGGCACUCUAGAGAGACUGCCAGUGAUAAACUGGAGGAAGGUGGGG
rnacentral:rRNA from 1 species